GCCCAGACUCCUACGGGAGGCAGCAGUGGGGAAUAUUGCACAAUGGGGGAAACCCUGAUGCAGCGACGCCGCGUGAGCGAUGAAGUAUUUCGGUAUGUAAAGCUCUAUCAGCAGGGAAGAAGAUGACGGUACCUGACUAAGAAGCCCCGGCUAACUACGUGCCAGCAGCCGCGGUAAUACGUAGGGGGCAAGCGUUAUCCGGAUUUACUGGGUGUAAAGGGAGCGUAGACGGCGAUGCAAGCCGGAUGUGAAAGCCCGGGGCUCAACCCCGGGACUGCAUUUGGAACUGUGUGGCUGGAGUGUCGGAGAGGCAGGCGGAAUUCCUAGUGUAGCGGUGAAAUGCGUAGAUAUUAGGAGGAACACCAGUGGCGAAGGCGGCCUGCUGGACGAUGACUGACGUUGAGGCUCGAAAGCGUGGGGAGCAAACAGGAUUAGAUACCCCAGUAGAA
rnacentral:rRNA from 1 species